AUGACGACUUGAAUAAAUUGUCUUUUCCUCUAAAAAGUAUAGGGGAAAUUGAAUAUUUGCAACAAAUUCUCACAGAUAAAGAAGAAUUAAAAGAUCGUAUGUUUAACAUAUUGGCAAGUAUUGGUGGAAGUAGCUAUGAAGAAAUGUCGAAAAGAAUAUUUAUUUUUGUUUUUACAAAUGAAGUAGCUAGUUUGUACAGUUGGAUAGGAGGAAAAGGAAAACGGAAGCUUCAUCAUUUUGAAAUAAUGAAGUUAAUGUUUAGUAAGUUAAAAUAUUUUUUUACAAAUAAUGUAAAAGUAUAUGUUGUAACAUUUAUGAAAACUGUUUGUUGCAGAAGUUGUCAGGAAAACAUUCCCUAAUGUAACGGAGAAAGAAUUUGAAAUUAAAUGUAAGGAUUGGUUUCGACAUGCAAAACACAGGUUCGAAAAUGAGAAACGACGGCAAAAUCGACAAAGCAAUAACCACAUGCCAAUAGAACGUACGACUGAACAACCAACCAUUGAACAACCUGAGCACAAUUAAUCCGUGGCUCCUCCGUUGGCCUUCAAUACUUCCCUCAUACAUUGUUACCCCAAAGUUUUUCCAACGAAUUAUGUAUGUAUCAGUUUCUCCUUACUUUUAUAUUUACAGUACUAGUUAGUUUAAGGGCCACUUUAACCAACUCCCAUUAACUUUAAUCCAAGAUUAACUCAAUCAACAGUCGCCAACAUGAAGACUGUGUGUGUCGUUCUUAACUUAACCUUUUUGAUACAUGGUAUAAUUGUGAUUUCACGUAUUAAAUUAAAAUACCCUUCUUGAAGACAUACAACAGCUUUAACAUGGAUGCAAUU